rnacentral:rRNA from 1 species
AAAGAUUAAGCCAUGCAUGUCUAAGUAUAAGCAAAUUUUACAGUGAAACUGCGAAUGGCUCAUUAAAUCAGUUAUCGUUUAUUUGAUGUUCCCUUACUACAUGGAUACCUGUGGUAAUUCUAGAGCUAAUACAUGCUUCAAAGCCCGGCCUCUGGUCGGGCUGCACUUAUUAGAUAAAAAACCAAUGCCUUCACGGGCUCUUUGGUGAUUCAUAGUAAUUUAGCGGACCGCAUGGCCUUGAGCCGGCGGUGGAUCAUUCAAAUUUCUGCCCUAUCAACUUUCGAUGGUAGGAUAGUGGCCUACCAUGGUUU